GAUAAGAAAGCGUCUGCAAAGAUUGGGGGAGGAAGCUUGAGAGGGAUGCGAGUUGAUUGCCUGUAGGAGGGAGAAACAGAGGAUCGCCAUGAAGUGCACACAGCCCGAAAUCGGUACACGUCGAUGCGACAAUCAAGGUGUUUUCCAAUUUUUUGCAGUAAUUCCUUUGGAAGAUUGGCCCACUGGUAAAGGGUAUUCCUAUCACUCAUCUCUCUCUCGCAGAUUGGUGAAGAGC
rnacentral:misc_RNA from 1 species